CUCAUAUCAUAUAGAUAGGCCAAUCAUCUACUUUUCCACAACUAAAACAAACUACAAGACUCUUGUAAAUUUAAUCUGCACAUUUAGGUGAAGAAGUUAUUUCUAGUUUGGUCCGAUGAAUCAUCUUUCCCACGACCAUUCCGUAGAUGAAUAUGGUUACGAUCAUUGAAAUAGAAUACAUAAUGAUUUUUUUUUUUUUUAAAUUUUAAUUUCAGGCUUGUUUUUGCAUACUCUAAAUCCGUCAACAAAAUCUUAUAAUAAGAACACAAUACCCUUCCAAGUUUACGGUUUGAUGAGUUCACCUUCAUAUUCACCCCAUCCUCUAAAUUAUCUUGCAUAUUAGUCCAAUGCAACCAGAAUUACCAAUUUUCCACCCACAAAUAUCAGAAGGGUACAAAAAAAUUAUAACAUUAGUUUAACAAUGUGAAAUAUCGUUCAGUAGCUACCUUUUCUCUCUCUCGCUAGGGUUUCUACGGGAAAAGGUUUGUUCUCCGUCCGACGGCGUGUUGUCGUCGGAUGGGCUUUUUUGGUAGUUGACUGUUGUUGAUGGAAAGUGGUAGGGGAGUUUGGGGGCGCUGGGGGUUGGGCUUCGGUUCUUUCAGGUCGGGGUGGCAGAUCGGAUGAGCAACCGAGAAUUCUUUGGUCGCUGGUCUGAGGUUGGUGGCUGUUGAGGUAGGCUAUGUGGCGGCGGCUUCGAGGAGGGACUUAGACAGCAAGGGUUUUCCAGCGUUUGGUUUUGAAUGGUGGAGUUGGUGGAGCUCCCCCAUAUCCGAUUUGGAUGGGGUGAACUGUUGGUUUGGUGGGGUUUGGCCUGUAGAGCGCCGGCGGUGGACGGUUCGGGUUGGGGGUGAGCCGGUGGUGGAGCAUCUGUCUUGGAGCAACCGUCACAUGUGGUGGUGCGAUAGGGAUGAGGGGAUGCAGGUGUAGGCUGUGCAGGAAUUGGGCCCGACCCUGUUUGGUGGCUUUGAUCCCCUACUACUUGGGCUGGUGGCUAGGUUUGGGACUUUGGGCUCUUGUCUUUGGCCCUGACCUGAUUGUUUUGUUCUCUAGUGUUGUUUUUUAUUUAUGUUAUUUAGUUUGUUUGCUGCUGUUUGCGAGCAAUAAGUCCCUACAGUAGAUGUGUAGGGCUAGUCAGGCUUCGUGCUUGUGUGUGCACUCUAAGGCUAUGUUUGUUAGGCAGGAUUGGAUGGGACUGGACGAGCUUAUCUAUUAUAACAGGAGUUAUCCCAUGUUUGGCAACAACAGGGAUUCGAUUAAAUGAGAUUAUGCAGUCCGCAAGACACUCCCAACACCUUCUUACACAGCGACCUCAAAAUUCACCGGACUGUGGAAGCAAGUCUUCUACAGCGCUGAAAUCUCAUUCUUAGUCGCUCUUGACUUGAGCCUCAUCGUUCUCACUCACUUGCUUCUUUCGUCUCAGUCUCAUUCGACUGCUCUUUUUCAGGUACUCAGAUAUGCCUGGUUUAUGAACAAAGGAGCGAGUUGAAGCAUAGGAAAUUUGAAACCCAUUGCUGAUGCUUUUUUCCUAUCAGAUUUGGCAUGCAGGAAGAGUUUCAAAGAAAGAAGAAAGAGUCUCAAAGAGUGGUAAUACACCUUUAUGAAUUCUCUUCCAUCAUAAAAAGACCUGUAACCAUAAUUGAAAAGUUAGACCAUAGAAGCAUCAGGAAUUAGAUGUAAACUUGUUAAUACAACGUGAGGCACUUGACUAUCUGUAGAGUGAAAUAUACAGAGCAAGUGCAUGUAGAGUGAAAUAUGCAUCAUAAGAUGUAAACCGUUCUGUAUGAUGGUAUUGCUGUUCAAUAUGAAAUAAAGAUUAUGUGAGGCGCUUGACUAUC